rnacentral:tRNA from 1 species
GGCCGAGUGGCGCAACAGGCAGACGCGCGCGUCCCAAAAACGCGCACUGCGGGUUCGACUCCCGCCUCGGCCA